GAUGAACGCUGGCGGCGUGCCUAAUACAUGCAAGUCGAGCGAACGGACGAGAAGCUUGCUUCUCUGAUGUUAGCGGCGGACGGGUGAGUAACACGUGGAUAACCUACCUAUAAGACUGGGAUAACUUCGGGAAACCGGAGCUAAUACCGGAUAAUAUUUUGAACCGCAUGGUUCAAAAGUGAAAGACGGUCUUGCUGUCACUUAUAGAUGGAUCCGCGCUGCAUUAGCUAGUUGGUAAGGUAACGGCUUACCAAGGCAACGAUGCAUAGCCGACCUGAGAGGGUGAUCGGCCACACUGGAACUGAGACACGGUCCAGACUCCUACGGGAGGCAGCAGUAGGGAAUCUUCCGCAAUGGGCGAAAGCCUGACGGAGCAACGCCGCGUGAGUGAUGAAGGUCUUCGGAUCGUAAAACUCUGUUAUUAGGGAAGAACAUAUGUGUAAGUAACUGUGCACAUCUUGACGGUACCUAAUCAGAAAGCCACGGCUAACUACGUGCCUGCAGCCGCGGUAAUACGUAGGUGGCAAGCGUUAUCCGGAAUUAUUGGGCGUAAAGCGCGCGUAGGCGGUCUUUUAAGUCUGAUGUGAAAGCCCACGGCUCAACCGUGGAGGGUCAUUGGAAACUGGAAAACUUGAGUGCAGAAGAGGAAAGUGGAAUUCCAUGUGUAGCGGUGAAAUGCGCAGAGAUAUGGAGGAACACCAGUGGCGAAGGCGACUUUCUGGUCUGUAACUGACGCUGAUGUGCGAAAGCGUGGGGAUCAAACAGGAUUAGAUACCCUGGUAGUCCACGCCGUAAACGAUGAGUGCUAAGUGUUAGGGGGUUUCCGCCCCUUAGUGCUGCAGCUAACGCAUUAAGCACUCCGCCUGGGGAGUACGACCGCAAGGUUGAAACUCAAAGGAAUUGACGGGGACCCGCACAAGCGGUGGAGCAUGUGGUUUAAUUCGAAGCAACGCGAAGAACCUUACCAAAUCUUGACAUCCUUUGACAACUCUAGAGAUAGAGCCUUCCCCUUCGGGGGACAAAGUGACAGGUGGUGCAUGGUUGUCGUCAGCUCGUGUCGUGAGAUGUUGGGUUAAGUCCCGCAACGAGCGCAACCCUUAAGCUUAGUUGCCAUCAUUAAGUUGGGCACUCUAAGUUGACUGCCGGUGACAAACCGGAGGAAGGUGGGGAUGACGUCAAAUCAUCAUGCCCCUUAUGAUUUGGGCUACACACGUGCUACAAUGGACAAUACAAAGGGCAGCGAAACCGCGAGGUCAAGCAAAUCCCAUAAAGUUGUUCUCAGUUCGGAUUGUAGUCUGCAACUCGACUACAUGAAGCUGGAAUCGCUAGUAAUCGUAGAUCAGCAUGCUACGGUGAAUACGUUCCCGGGUCU
rnacentral:rRNA from 1 species